AGCCCAACAACGUGCAAUCACAUCGACAAGAAAGGAAGAAGAAAAGCAGCAGCGACGAGAGUACGAAGACGGUUGCGAUGGACUAUGACGAGCCGGAGGAGCAGGCCAGCGUCGACUCGGGGGAGAUGGAGGCUGAGGAGGACGAAACCACUUCUACACUGGAUCUGAUCGCCGACUGUCAGGCAAUGGACGUAAGCCGCCUGGUGGACCCCACUUUCUACAACGCCUUCUCAGACGAUUUCGAUGAUGAAGACAUUUACUGAAGCUAUUACCCAUGCCCAGAUUCAGGUGGAAAGGGAGAAAUGUAGCGCAGGAUUAUUAGGAAUUAAAAAUGCAGCACGAGCGAAGGCACGUGACAAAGCCAAAUACACGGCACAAAUAACCCCACAACCAACUACUACUACUCCUACAACGUUCACUCGUUAGUUUGUAGUAUGUUUUGGUAUUUUGAAACUAAGCAAUAAAAAUAUACAAUGAAACUUCAAUGCUGCUGGAAUGUUUGUUUCUUAUUUUAAUUUGAAAUGUAGUAUAUUUUAUGCCAACUAUGAAUAAUUAUACAGAUAAUAUAAAAUAUGAUA